GAUGAACGCUGGCGGCGUGCCUAAUACAUGCGAGUCGAGCGAACAGAUAAGGAGCUUGCUCCUUUGACGUUAGCGGCGGACGGGUGAGUAACACGUGGGUAACCUACCUAUAAGACUGGGAUAACUUCGGGAAACCGGAGCCAAUACCGGAUAAUAUUUCGAACCGCAUGGUUCGAUAGUGGAAGAUGGUUUUGCUAUCACUUAUAGAUGGACCCGCGCCGUAUUAGCUAGUUGGUAAGGUAACGGCUUACCAAGGCGACGAUACGUAGCCGACCUGAGAGGGUGAUCGGCCACACUGGAACUGAGACACGGUCCAGACUCCUACGGGAGGCAGCAGUAGGGAAUCUUCCGCAAUGGGCGAAAGCCUGACGGAGCAACGCCGCGUGAGUGAUGAAGGUCUUCGGAUCGUAAAACUCUGUUAUUAGGGAAGAACAUACGUGUAAGUAACUGUGCACGUCUUGACGGUACCUAAUCAGAAAGCCACGGCUAACUACGUG
rnacentral:rRNA from 1 species